CCAAACUAUUAAUUAUGGUUUACAGUGUGAUCAUGGAGGAAUGGGCAAACUUAAAUUGGAAGAGGAUAAAAUAUUGGUCCAUUUUGGGAGGAAAACUAAAGCAAAUGUGAAUAAACUUAUGGGCAAAGCAAGGUUGCGUACCUAUAUAUAAGGGCCUCAUCACUGGAGCUUUCUUGCACAACACCUUCUCUCCUCCAUGCCUCUGCAGAGACCUUCAGACUUAUUCAGAAUUCARAGAGAGAAAGAGAGAAGGGCCAGCCGGUGUAGCAGCAAUGUCUUGGGGAAGCAUCCAAAGGGAUCGCAUUGAUCCUUCAUCGCUCUCGCUCGCUUCCAUGGCGGUCGUCGUCUACAAGCAGCUUGACGGAUCAUGCGAUCCUUUUGGAGGCUUCCUCUAGCCAUUAAAACUUCGAUCUCCGUCUUGAGUUCUUGAUAUUCAUGGUGCAUGUUCUUCAUUGUUGGGUUCAGACGUCUUGCGUUCUUAGCUGCAGUCGUCUGUGAGGUGAUCUUCCUAUCUUCGAUGAUUAUAGAUCAUAUAGCUAUAAUACUACUAGGUAAGGUAUGCAGUUAAUUUUUCUUGAUUGUUCUUACUUCUAAGUACGCAUGUUAUUUCCCUGAAAAAGGGUAUGCAUGCUCUUUAUUCGAGAAUUUCUUUGCUUUGGUUGCUAACUACAUAGCGAACACACUA
rnacentral:precursor_RNA from 1 species